rnacentral:rRNA from 1 species
AGUGAACGCUGGCGGUAGGCCUAACACAUGCAAGUCGAACGGCAGCACAGUAAGAGCUUGCUCUUACGGGUGGCGAGUGGCGGACGGGUGAGGAAUACAUCGGAAUCUACUUUUUCGUGGGGGAUAACGUAGGGAAACUUACGCUAAUACCGCAUACGACCUACGGGUGAAAGCAGGGGAUCUUCGGACCUUGCGCGAUUGAAUGAGCCGAUGUCGGAUUAGCUAGUUGGCGGGGUAAAGGCCCACCAAGGCGACGAUCCGUAGCUGGUCUGAGAGGAUGAUCAGCCACACUGGAACUGAGACACGGUCCAGACUCCUACGGGAGGCAGCAGUGGGGAAUAUUGGACAAUGGGCGCAAGCCUGAUCCAGCCGUACCGCGUGGGUGAAGAAGGCCUUCGGGUUGCAAAGCCCUUUUGUUGGGAAAGAAAAGCAGCAGGUUAAUACCCCGCUGUUCUGACGGUACCCAAAGAAUAAGCACCGGCUAACUUCGUG